rnacentral:lncRNA from 1 species
UCGGGAUUCCUUCGCUCCCUUGUGGUCAAGAUCCAAAGGAUAAUUUGCAGUGUUCUGAGUAUCUAGAUAGAUGAUGAUGUGGUAGGGGCCCUGAGCACAAUUAUCGUCGAUCCUGAUAACUACCGGGGUGUGCUGUUAGGACAUUCUUCAGGCAAGAGGUCAACAUGAACGUAGCAAAGUCAGGCAUGAAAAACAAUGACGAUGGAAGUAAAGUGCAUCCUCCAGCCAGUCCAGAAGGAGCUUUACAACAACUUCACAGAGAGUACUUGACUGAGAAACCGAGAUGUCCCAGAAAAUAAGACCAACCUGCUCGCCUUUAAAGACACCAUUUUGCACAAUUUCACAAAAAUCUAAGAUAACACAGAAGUUUUAUUACUACAUCAGAGUUGUGCACGCUGAGCGCCAGUGAACUGCAGAAGGUUUAUGGAACAGCUGUCUGAUUCCUGCCCCACAGUGCAACAGGUGAAGCAUCAACAGAGAGAGAAGAUGAGAAGACGUUGGAAGUGUGGGAAGAAUGCUGAAGGUGUGAAAGAGUCUCUUAUGAAACCAGGAGAAGAAAGUGGCGAGGAGGCUGCAGCCUGCCAGGAAGGAUAAGUACCGCACAAUGAUACCAGGGGCAGAGAGCUCAGGUCAUGCUGAUCCACCACAGCGACACAGAAAGCUGAGAAGCAGAUGGAAAUUCAAAGAAGAUGCCACCAAACUGAAAGCCAAUUACACAGCUCCACUGCCACAUGUCUGGAUGCAAGACUUAACAACAAAUUUGGCCAAGUGAUUGUAUAAAAUAUCAUGUGUAUGCAAAAUUUCUUAAAAAUAAAAAAAUGUAUAUUAUUCAUUCAGUAUUUUUCUCCAAUUGGACAAAAAGCUUAAAUUUGGGCAACUGCUUCAAUGAGAUUGCAUAAUUACCAAUGUUUGAAUCUUCAAAGGCAAAUGUGCAGAGUAGAUACGUUUUACUGUAGUUGGUUACAAUUCCGAAGAAGAGAACAUUCCAUCGCUUAGUGG